GUUUUUGUACCGGCUACAGAAUAUAUCAACUGUAAUGUCUAGGACUUGAGGGUUUAUACACAAACUAUGAUUUGAGAAAUUGCUAAAUUUAGACAAAUCUAGAUGGCCAACAUCUACAACUUGGGUGUAUUUGCAAAUUGUCUACACAAUGAUUUACAGACUUCAUAUUUUUCAAGCUAUCCUCCCCUCCCAACUGUACUGCUUGUACAGCACUGCAGUCGCUACAGUUGGUGAUAUCUAAAUGUUAAUUUAUUGAAUGUGCCCCCAAGCUGUGACCCACAAAUAAAACAACCCAUGUAUUUGGUGAUCCCCUUUUGUAAAAUCAUACAGUUGGUUGUUGUUG